CACGCCGUAAACGGUGGGCGCUAGGUGUGGGGACUGUUUCCACGGUCUCCGUGCCGUAGCUAACGCAUUAAGCGCCCCGCCUGGGGAGUACGGCCGCAAGGCUAAAACUCAAAGGAAUUG
rnacentral:rRNA from 1 species